UCGUAAAAUCAUAUAAAACUGUAUUAAAUAACUUUUCUUAAAUACUAAAACACAAAGAAAUUAUGUAAACUAACAUAUUUCACAUUUUAAUUUGUCCCCUUAACAGUAGUUGUUUUUUUAGAAUAACAUACAGUUCUGACUUCUGGAAUCACAAAAUCAAUCAGUUAAUUACUUGUACCUAUUGUCUCCGUCAGUGAAAAAAAGUUCAAAAACAAGCUGUUUUGUCAAAAAUGUCACAGGAAAUAUUUUACAUAGGUGGCCUCGGAGACAAAAAGGUUAAAAACCACAGAAAUACCACAACUAUAAUCCCCAUAUCAAACAUUUAUUUCCGAGGUGCCUUACGGUGGCGUCAGAACAUAAGAGAUAUUAAACGCAGUUCACUUCGGGUAUGCCAUGUCAAAAUCAGUCGACUUUUUAAACCUUCUACAUGACAUGAGUCAUUCCGCACUAAAGAAAGUGGUGAACUUUGAGCGUCAGGACCCGGAAGCGUGUUAUUUUAUUGUCACAUGGCUUGAAGAUUUCAAUAACAACAAAAAAUGGCGACAAUCACGUUGUUCGCUGUAAGGCUUGCUGCGUCAUUAAAAAUAUUCACGUAAACAAGGGAGUUCAGCGUUGAAAAUGCAGCCGCUAGAGGAAUGUUAGGCAGAUGUUUUGUCAUUAUUUGGCAGGCGUUUCCACUGUCCUGAGAUGGCAAACACGACGCGCUGAUGGAGUUGUUUACAAGAAGAGAUUCGCACGGAGGGCGGGGACGUUGAGGGCGUGGUCUGCGGGAUGAUGUGGGAGGAGCCAAACGCCUGCCAAAAUACGAGAGCAAAGUAUAGAAGGUGGAGUCAGAGUUACCAUAACAAGUCUGUCGUCACAGGGGUGGUGUGUAUAAAUAAUUAAAGCUCAAAACGAAGGUAUUGAAUCUCAUGCUGUCAGAAAGGGAGCUGACAUCUAAUGCAGCGUGUCUAGUAAAAAAAAGGCUUUUCAAGUUCAAUCAUGAUAUUGUAAUUUUUACUUAGUGUAAGUUAUAUUUAACAACUGCAUCUGCUAAUUCCUAUAACGUACACAGAUGGAAACAUCAGGUUUGUUUAGCCUAUAUUACAUAUGAAUUGUUAUAUCUUAAAUGCAGUAAACAUCACACUCUGAUAUAUAAAGUGAUAUAUAAUUAUCCCUGAAUGAACGUGGACAAGAAGAUGUGUGAAGAACUACCGCCCUGGCUCUGCUUGAUUUGACAGGCUGCCCUGGUUCAGUUAUCACAGUGCUGAUGCUGUCCAUCUUAAAGGUACAGUACUGUGAUAACUGAAGGAUGGCUGCCAUCUUGACAUCUAGUCUCACAAAAAGAAUUUGUUACAGGUGAGAAAGAGGUAAAUAAAAGCAAAAAAUAUCAAGAAAACAAAACUGUUGAAUAUAGAGAAAUCUGUACUGAAUUCUGAUUAAAUAAUAAACUGUGUCAAACUGUUGGUUGCCUUCUAAUUUUAUGUAUGAAUUUAUGCACAUUAUGGUAUCUUGUCAUCAGUAUGUUAAAUUAUUAUUAUUAUUGACAAUGUGGAUGUUUUGUGAAAUAUAUGUAUCAUAAA